rnacentral:sRNA from 1 species
AGCAGUUGAACAUCAGAUACUCAGAGUGACAUCAGGUUAAAAAAAAAGCCUGCAAUUUGGAUCUUUUCCUGCCUCAGAAGCAAGGAAAAUGGACAAUUGAUAAUCAAAGGCUAAAUCUAUUCUGGGAUCCACUGAAUGCCACUAGCGGGUCUGCUCGAGAGAAUUCCUGAUUGAAUGACAACGGCGCUAAGAACAGUAAGUCAUGGUUGGGAAGCAGUAAGGGAAGAAUGGAGCCCAGAUAUCCUAAAUUAAAAUAUAAAAGGCUAGCGUUGUUGGGCGUGUACAU